rnacentral:rRNA from 1 species
AUUGAACGCUGGCGGCAGGCCUAACACAUGCAAGUCGAGCGAGCGGCGGACGGGUGAGUAAUGUCUGGGAAACUGCCUGAUGGAGGGGGAUAACUACUGGAAACGGUCGCUAAUACCGCAUACCAUCAGAUGUGCCCAUAUGGGAUUAGCUAGUAGGUGGGGUAGUGGCUCACCUAGGCGACGAUCUCUCGCUGGGCUGAGAGGAUGACCAGCCACACUGGGACUGAGACACGGCCCAGACUCCUACGGGAGGCAGCAGUGGGGAAUAUUGCACAAUGGGCGCAAGCCUGAUGCAGCCAUGCCGCGUGUAUGAAGAAGGCCGUAGGGUUGUAAAGUACUUUCAGCGGGGAGGCGUUACCCGCAGAAGAAGCACCGGCUAACUCCGUGCCAGCAGCCGCGGUAAUUC